UACGUAGGUGGCAAGCGUUGUCCGGAAUUACUGGGCGUAAAGGGCUCGUAGGCGGCCAACUAAGUCAGACGUGAAAUCCCUCGGCUUAACCGGGGAACUGCAUCUGAUACUGGAUGGCUUGAGUUCGGGAGAGGGAUGCGGAAUUCCAGGUGUAGCGGUGAAAUGCGUAGAUAUCUGGAGGAACACCGGUGGCGAAGGCGGCAUCCUGGACCGACACUGACGCUGAGGAGCGAAAGCCAGGGGAGCAAAGCGGGG
rnacentral:rRNA from 1 species